GCAAUUGCAACCGCAGCCUGUCCCUCCUAUAUAUUAGAGGUCCUUCGGGACUAUGGACAUAAACGCGCUCGUAAUAAGCGGAUCGGACCCGGGGGCGGUACCCGGCGACUCCACCAACACUCCCUCGUUUGGGGAUCAUGGGGUCGAAAUAGGAUCGACGAACGUCUAAAGGGGUAAGCUUUGUCUCGGUGAGUUACCACCGUUAUCGGUACAUUCAAGCUAGUUGCAAACGACAACAAAGCUCCAAUGGCGAUGGCUGCGUAAGCAGUCGGAACUAUUGAAAACUUAAGCCCUUAGGCCUAGCAGCUUAAGGCGGGGUUUGCAGGUACCUGGCAACAGAAACCUGCGCU
rnacentral:tmRNA from 1 species